rnacentral:misc_RNA from 1 species
GAUGAAGAACGCAGCGAAAUGCGAUACUUGGUGUGAAUUGCAGAAUCCCGCGAAUCAUCGAGUUUUUGAACGCAAGUUGCGCCCGAAGCCAUUCGGCCGAGGGCACGUCUGCCUGGGUGUCACGCAUCGUUGCCCCCCAAACUCCGGUUCGGGCGGGGCGGAAGUUGGCCUCCCGUGCGUGCCUGCGCGCGCGGUUAGCCCAAAAGCGAGUCCUCGGCGACGAGCGCCACGACAAUCGGUGGUUUUUUUACCCUCGUUCCUCGUCUUGCGUGUCCCGUCGCCCGAACGCGCUCUUGUGACCCUCACGCGUCGCCUCGGCGGCGCUCCCAACGCGACCCCAGGUCAGGCGGGACUACCCGCUGAGUUUAAGCAUAUCAAUAAGCGGAGGA